rnacentral:rRNA from 1 species
GGUGACCUAAUGGCUUACCAAGGCGACGACGGGUAGCCGGCCUGAGAGGGUGACCGGCCACACUGGGACUGAGACACGGCCCAGACUCCUACGGGAGGCAGCAGUGGGGAAUAUUGCACAAUGGGCGCAAGCCUGAUGCAGCGACGCCGCGUGAGGGAUGACGGCCUUCGGGUUGUAAACCUCUUUCAGUAGGGAAGAAGCGAAAGUGACGGUACCUGCAGAAGAAGCGCCGGCUAACUACGUGCCAGCAGCCGCGGUAAUACGUAGGGCGCAAGCGUUAUCCGGAAUUAUUGGGCGUAAAGAGCUCGUAGGCGGUUUGUCGCGUCUGCCGUGAAAGUCCGGGGCUCAACUCCGGAUCUGCGGUGGGUACGGGCAGACUAGAGUGAUGUAGGGGAGACUGGAAUUCCUGGUGUAGCGGUGAAAUGCGCAGAUAUCAGGAGGAACACCGAUGGCGAAGGCAGGUCUCUGGGCAUUAACUGACGCUGAGGAGCGAAAGCAUGGGGAGCGAACAGGAUUAGAUACCCUGGUAGUCCAUGCCGUAAACGUUGGGCACUAGGUGUGGGGGACAUUCCACGUUUUCCGCGCCGUAGCUAACGCAUUAAGUGCCCCGCCUGGGGAGUACGGCCGCAAGGCUAAAACUCAAAGGAAUUGACGGGGGCCCGCACAAGCGGCGGAGCAUGCGGAUUAAUUCGAUGCAACGCGAAGAACCUUACCAAGGCUUGACAUGAACCGGUAACGCCUGGAGACAGGUGCCCCGCUUGCGGUCGGUUUACAGGUGGUGCAUGGUUGUCGUCAGCUCGUGUCGUGAGAUGUUGGGUUAAGUCCCGCAACGAGCGCAACCCUCGUUCUAUGUUGCCAGCACGUGAUGGUGGGGACUCAUAGGAGACUGCCGGGGUCAACUCGGAGGAAGGUGGGGACGACGUCAAAUCAUCAUGCCCCUUAUGUCUUGGGCUUCACGCAUGCUACAAUGGCCGGUACAAAGGGUUGCGAUACUGUGAGGUGGAGCUAAUCCCAAAAAGCCGGUCUCAGUUCGGAUUGGGGUCUGCAACUCGACCCCAUGAAGUCGGAGUCGCUAGUAAUCGCAGAUCAGCAACGCU